GCCUCCUUAGCUCAGUGGUAGAGCAACGCUCUUGUAAAGCGUAGGUCGUCAGUUCAAUCCUGACAGGGGGCUCCC
rnacentral:tRNA from 1 species